AGCCAUGUGGUGAGCACAAAGCGAACUAUUCUUUCGCCUUUUACUAAAGAAUACCGUGUGCUCUCCACGCUAAGUGGCAUACGCCUAUUUUUGUAGGGUCUUGCUUUUAAGCGAGC
rfam:Brassica napus, WGS project CCCW01000000 data, contig: 115